CCUACGGGAGGCAGCAGUGAGGAAUAUUGGUCAAUGGACGAGAGUCUGAACCAGCCAAGUAGCGUGAAGGAUGACUGCCCUAUGGGUUGUAAACUUCUUUUAUAAAGGAAUAAAACGAGGCACGUGUGCCUUUUUGCAUGUACUUUAUGAAUAAGGAUCGGCUAACUCCGUGCCAGCAGCCGAGGUAAUACGGAGGAUCCGAGCGUUAUCCGGAUUUAUUGGGUUUAAAGGGUGCGGAGGUGGGUUGUUAAGUCAGUGGUAAAAGUGGGGGGAGGAAACGUACGAUGGCAGUUGAAACUGGGUUAUUGAGUGGGCGAGAAGUAUGUGGAAUGCGUGGUGGAGCGGUGAAAUGCAUAGAGAACACGCAGAACUCCGAUUGCGAGGGCAGCAGACCGGCGCCAAACUGACGCUGAAGCACGAAAGCGGGGGUAUCGAACAGGAUUAGAGACCCCUGUAGUC
rnacentral:rRNA from 1 species